AACGCACAUUGCACCCGGUGGUAUUCUGCCGGGUAUGCCUGUUCGAGCGUCAUUUCUUCCCUCAGGCCCGGCCGCUCAGGCGGCCUGGGUGCUGGUGUUGGGCCCCGCGGCGCUGUUUUUCAGCGCUGCGGGCCCUAAUUUCAUCGGCGUGCGCGCGCACGUUGCCCCCUGCGUAGUGGUUUACUUCUCGCAUCGGGCCGUGCCGCCGUGCUGCCGCAACCGACGGCGGUCGAGAGACAGCAGUCACACAACCAGUUUUGACCUCGAAUCAGGUAGGGUUACCCGCUGAACUUAA
rnacentral:misc_RNA from 1 species